UCAAAAAGGGGCAUUGCAACUCUAGAUCUGCCACCACUGGUUUUGUUCAUGUAUCCCGUCUCAUGGACUCAGCUUUGUCAUCGGCACCUGCCUCAUCGAGGUGCUAAAAAUAUGAAUUGCAGUCACGUUUGCAGGAGUCUGCUUGGAAAGGGAAUGAUCAAUACUUGGAAGUGAUUGUUACUUUAGUCACUGAUGAAACCAGAAACCUUCUACCCGAAGCUCUGCAGGAGCUUGAAACGACGUGUGCGUCUUGAUUGACUUUUCGCCAUCUCUCUCUCUCUGAAAAAGAAAUGCCUCGCCUCAGUUUGCUUCCUCUGCAGCCACCCAGGAGAGCAGUUUUCCGCUCCCCACCACCCCCCCCCCCAUCCUUCUCCGGAGUUAAUUCCAGUUUGACAGACUGUUGCUAUAGCAUUCCUUCCCUGACGUCAAACAAUUUAAAGAAACAGCUCUGGGUAACGAAAACUGCAGAGGAGGUCUUUGUGGAGUUUCUGCACUAGAGAAACCUCUGAACAAUAUCACAAGAGAACUUGAACACCUCCGCAGUCUUCCUCUCCUCCUGGAGCAGCUUCACACUGUCGCCUGGAUUAAGUCUCUUUCUUAGCAGUUUAGGAGAGAUGAUGCACCCGGAUUGCCACCAUGGAGCAACUGAAGCAGUUGGUAUAAAAACCAAACUCCGGCAGGGAAAAUGGAAACAACCGUGCAGCUGUAGAUGGUGAAAUGAUAGAUGGUUUUUGUUUGUCUGUUUGUUUCCUCCCUGAAUUUGCAUUUUCCCUCAGGUUGGGUGAGUUUUUCCAUUAAGAAAAAGAAGUGCUGAGUCCUCCACACAUUAAAGUAUUAGAGAAGUACAUUACACCCGGAGUGGCUUCCAUUCGUGACUAUUUCUAUGCUUUAAUGGCCAUAGGCACUCAUCAUUGCCUACAGUCGAAGAGCAUUUGUAUAACUUGGAGCUAAACAUCAGAAAUACGAAUCUCUCUAAAGAGAAAACAAGAGUAUCUCUGACAUCUCCUGCAGUUAGCCAAUGAGUCAGCAGAGGAUUCCAAUGGCAUUUCUGGAGGAAUUCCCGGUGAUACAGUACAGCCACCAGGUUCCAGAUGCUACCAUGAUGCUAACUGACCUUCCCUGGGCAGAUGACCCCACCAAUGUGUCCUGGAGCCCCACCUUCCCAGAGCCCUGCCCCACGUGGGAAAGAGAGAGACAGGCUGGGAGUAUGGAUCCACCUGCCAACGCCCAUGUUCAGUGUGGAAGCAAUUACAGAACCUUCCACCUUCUGCAUCCCACAAUGAUCCUGGGUCCACACUCCCAGAGGGAUAAAGAAUAGGAAAGCUAUCAGGGGAGGAGAUGGGAUACAGAGUUCUGGUGGUGGGAAUUGUGUGGAACUGUACCCCUCUUAUCCUAUGGUUUUGUCAAUGUUUCCUUUUUAUAAAUAAAAAUUAAAAAAAAAAAAAGGAGAAGGGAAAGAGCCGUAAUGAGCAG